rnacentral:piRNA from 2 species
GUCCGAGAGUAGUGGUGUUUACAAC